GACGGAGGAUGCAAGCGUUAUCCGGAAUGAUUGGGCGUAAAGCGUCCGCAGGUGGCAGUUCAAGUCUGCUGUCAAAGACCGGGGCUUAACUUGGGAAAGGCAGUGGAAACUGAACAGCUAGAGUAUGGUAGGGGCAGAGGGAAUUCCUGGUGUAGCGGUGAAAUGCGUAGAGAUCAGGAAGAACAUCGGUGGCGAAGGCGCUCUGCUGGACCAUAACUGACACUCAGGGACGAAAGCUAGGGGAGCGAAUGGG
rnacentral:rRNA from 1 species